ACAGCGGUAGCUCAGUGGACUCUGGUUCCCACGCUCCGUCCCGCCUGGUCCCGGGUCACCGGCUGUGGGCGGACAGACGCGGGCGUCACGUUCUGGGUCUGAUCGAGGACUAUAACGCCCUGCGCAAACAGAUCAGUGAAGCCAAGAGGCUCACUGCAGAUCUGGACACACAGAUACACGACUGCGGCCGGGUGAGAACACACACACUCUCACUCAGUCUGGUGUGUGUUAGGGUCAUGUUUCAGCACUGAAUGUGUUUCCUGUGGUGUGUGUCAGGCUGCGGAUCAGCUGAAGAGCGUCUCUGGCAGUGUGAACACUAUGCAGCAGGUUCUGGAGGAGGCAGCUCGGCUUCUCAAACUGCUCUGGAGAGUCUCACUACCCUCAGGAGACACCACACACACUCAACAGGAGGAGCUGCUGAAGAGUGAGAUCAGUCGUCUGAAGACUCGUCUGUCUCAGCAGGAGCGGAUGUUGAGCGGAGCUGUCAAACGCCUCAGAUCCUCCAACCAGCUGAAAGAGGGCGUGGAGCGCGUCAUCAUCGACCAGCGUAAGAGAGCAGCACACACACACACACACUCACUCAUGCAGAGUCAACCAACACUGAUGUGUGUGCCGUGUUUCUGCAGUGUCUCUGACUCACGGCGUGCUGAAGAGAGCCAGAGGAAACCUGGAGGUGCGUUACCCUUGUGUUCUUUGACAUGCAUUCGGUGCAGUAGAGUAAACCAAACUCUCUGCUCAGCCUGCGGAAAAUUAAUCGAGGCUUCCACAAAAAUAUAA
rnacentral:lncRNA from 1 species